GAUAAAAAAUAUCAUACUAGACACAAUUUGCACUCUCACAGUGCCCCAUGUCACACCUUAACAACCAUUUAUUCAGCCUUUAGUCAUCACUACAAAUGCUACUCCUUUUUUAGUGAGGAAACUGAUGGUGAGUGAGCUACUUCUCUGUUUUCAGAAAACAGGAUGUGGAUCAGUGUCAUCCUGUCGAGUUCUGAGAAGGCGUAUGCCUGACUCCAUGGUGGCUCAGCAAAGGCUUCCCUGGCAGGCAACUUUUAAGCAUGUAUACAGCAAAUUGGUCGUUCUCAAGCAGCCUUCGAACUGCAAGGGAUGUGGUAUACAGCUGUGAAGGCAGAUACAUCCAUACGCCCAGGAAUUUUCAGGUUACUUAAUAGAAAUGGAUUAUUUAAUCAGCAAAACAUUCCUGAGAAGCAGCUAGGAAUUACUGCCCUCAUUUUACAAAAGCCAACAACACAGAGGGAUCACAGGACAGAUUCUGUGAGAUACUUGGAUGCUGAGCAAGGUUUUCCAGGGCAUGAAGAUAUUUAAUUCUCACUGAAAGCAAUUAAAAGACUGGAAAUGGUAAAGCAGUAUUUCAGUGU